UCACCCCUAUCUUAAGACUUGCUCACAGCUUUUUAUCAUUUUAGAAUAGACUUAUUUCGUCCCAUUAUACGUUUUCAUAUUCCAUUUUAAUUUAUCUUGAAUAUAGUAGGUUUAUAAUAAAUAUCGAUUUCAUAAGUUAGACAAACGAACAAGAUAGAUGGAACAUGCGUGGCUGAGUUCAUGCUUUGAAGAAAACGUGACAGGAUGAUCAAUAGACAAUAAUAUAACUUAAAUUGAUUUUACCAAAAAAAUAAAAUAUAACUUACAUUUAUUCAGAAUAAAGUUAUGCAACUAGUGUGAAAUGGAUUUUCAUUCCUAGAAAUAGAUUAUUGUUGUCAACUGCAUUUGAUUUUAUAAACAUAUUAUUAAUAUAAUCCCUUCACGUCACGGAUAGGUUUUUAAACUAAUUAAUUUUAUUUUUCAUUGUUUAUAUUGUCAUAUUACAGUUGAGCUUUU
rnacentral:lncRNA from 1 species